rnacentral:piRNA from 1 species
UCCAGUGAAAUGACCCUCUCCAAGUUACCUC